rfam:Aedes albopictus isolate Foshan contig21289, whole genome shotgun sequence.
UGUUCUGUAGCUUAGUUGGUUUAAGCGCUGGAUUAGCGAUAACGGAGUCGUGGGUUCGAAUCCCAUCAAAACGA